GACGAACGCUGGCGGCGUGCUUAACACAUGCAAGUCGAACGGUGAAGCUCCAGCUUGCUGGAGUGGAUCAGUGGCGAACGGGUGAGUAACACGUGAGCAACCUGCCCCUGACUCUGGAAUAAGCGCUGGAAACGGCGUCUAAUACUGGAUACGAGAAGGGUCCGCAUGGGCACUUUCUGGAAAGUUUUUCGGUUGGGGAUGGGCUCGCGGCCUAUCAGCUUGUUGGUGAGGUAAUGGCUCACCAAGGCGACGACGGGUAGCCGGCCUGAGAGGGCGACCGGCCACACUGGAACGGAGACAGGCCCCAAACUCCUACGGGAGGCAGCAGGGGGGAAUAUUGAACAAUGGGCGAAAGCCUGAUGCAGCAACGCCGGGUGGGGGAGGACGGCCUUCGGGUGGUAAACCUCUUUAGGCGGGGAGGAAGGAAAGUGACGGUACCUGCAGAAGAAGCACCGGCUAACUACGUG
rnacentral:rRNA from 1 species